rnacentral:rRNA from 1 species
GUGGGGAAUUUUGGACAAUGGGCGCAAGCCUGAUCCAGCAAUGCCGCGUGCAGGAAGAAGGCUUUCGGGUUGUAAACUGCUUUUGUACGGAACGAAACGGCUCUGGUUAAUACCCGGGGCUAAUGACGGUACCGUAAGAAUAAGCACCGGCUAACUACGUGCCAGCAGCCGCGGUAAUACGUAGGGUGCAAGCGUUAAUCGGAAUUACUGGGCGUAAAGCGUGCGCAGGCGGUUUUGUAAGACAGGCGUGAAAUCCCCGGGCUCAACCUGGGAAUGGCGCUUGUGACUGCAAAGCUGGAGUGCGGCAGAGGGGGAUGGAAUUCCGCGUGUAGCAGUGAAAUGCGUAGAUAUGCGGAGGAACACCGAUGGCGAAGGCAAUCCCCUGGGCCUGCACUGACGCUCAUGCACGAAAGCGUGGGGAGCAAACAGGAUUAGAAACCCGGGUAGUCC